rnacentral:rRNA from 1 species
GACGAACGCUGGCGGCGUGCCUAAUACAUGCAAGUCGAACGCAGUGGGGACGGGUGAGUAACACGUGGGUAACCUCCCAUCAGAGGGGAUAACACUUGGAAACAGGUGCUAAACCGAUACUGAUGGAUGGACCCGCGGUGCAUUGGCUAGUUGGUGAGGUAACGGCUCACCAAGGCCACGAUGCAUAGCCGAACUGGGAGGGUGAUCGUCAACACUGGGCCUAGGACCGGGCCAGGACGCCUAGGGGGGGCGGCGGUGGGGAAUUUUCGGCAAUGGACGAAAGUCGGACCGGGCAACGCGGGGUGAGUGAAGAAGCUUUUCGGAGCGUAAGACUCUGUUGUUAGAGAAGCGGUAUCGAACCAGAAAGCCACGGCUAACUACGUGCCAGCAGCCGCGGUAAUUC